UACGUAGGUGUCAAGCGUUGUCCGGAUUUAUUGGGCGUAAAGCGCCCGCAGGCGGCUUGCCAAGUCUGACGUGAAAUCUCCCGGCUCAACUGGGAGGGUGCAUCGGAAACUGGCAGGCUUGAGGCAGGGAGAGGGAUGUGGAAUUCCAGGUGUAGUGGUGAAAUGCGUAGAUAUCAGGAGGAACACCUGUGGCGAAAGCGGCUCACUGGACCAUAACUGACGCUGAUGCACGAAAGCUAGGGGAGCAAACAGG
rnacentral:rRNA from 1 species